rnacentral:rRNA from 1 species
UACGAAGGGGGCUAGCGUUGCUCGGAAUUACUGGGCGUAAAGCGCACGUAGGCGGCUUCUUAAGUCGGGGGUGAAAUCCCGGAGCUCAACUCCGGAACUGCCUUCGAUACUGGGAGCUCGAGUCCGGGAGAGGUGAGUGGAACUGCGAGUGUAGAGGUGAAAUUCGUAGAUAUUCGCAAGAACACCAGUGGCGAAGGCGGCUCACUGGCCCGAUACUGACGCUGAGGCACGAAAGCGUGGGGAGCAACAGG